GGGGCUGUAGCCCAGUGGCAAGGCUUUUGCCUUGCACUCAGAAGAUCUUAGGUUCAAUCCCCAGUGUGGCGUUCG